AACGCACGAGACCUGCGGACCUGCGGAGGGAUCAUUAAUGAGAAGCUGCCCCUCGUGGGUAGACCUCCCACCCUCUGUGAACUUACCUUUGUUGCUUUGGCAGGCCCGUCCUCUGGACCGCCGGCUUCGGCUGGCCCGUGCCUGCCAGAGGACUCCAAACCCUGUCUGUCAGUGUUGUCUGAGUCUAUAUGAAAUCGUUAAAACUUUCAACAACGGAUCUCUAGAUCGGAAGAGCACACG
rnacentral:misc_RNA from 1 species